rnacentral:rRNA from 1 species
GAUGAACGCUGGCGGUAUGCUUAACACAUGCAAGUCGAACGGACUCUUCGGAGUUAGUGGCGGACGGGUGAGUAACGCGUGAGAAUCUGGCUUUGGGUUCGGGACAACCACUGGAAACGGUGGCUAAUACCGGAUGUGCCGAGAGGUAAAAGAGAAAUUGCCUGAAGAUGAGCUCGCGUCUGAUUAGCUAGUUGGUGAGGUAAAGGCUCACCAAGGCAGCGAUCAGUAGCUGGUCUGAGAGGAUGACCAGCCACACUGGGACUGAGACACGGCCCAGACUCCUACGGGAGGCAGCAGUGGGGAAUUGUCCGCAAUGGGCGAAAGCCUGACGGAGCAAUACCGCGUGAGGGAAGAAGGCUCUUGGGUUGUAAACCCCUUUUCUUAGGGAAGAACAAAAUGACGGUACCUAAGGAAUCAGCAUCGGCUAACUCCGUG